GACAUAGGUGGCGAACGUUAUCCGGAAUUAUUGGGCGUAAAGGGUGCGUAGCUGGUACGGUAAGUUAUCAGUGGGAAAUCGAGGCCCAACCUCGUGGAAGCUGGUAAUACUGCCACACUAGAGUACAGAAGAGGUUAACGGAAUUCCAUGUGGAGCGGUAAAAUGCGACGAUAUAUGGAGGAACAUCAAUAACGGCGAAGGCAGUUAACUAUUCUGUUACUGACAUUGAGGCACGAAAGCGUGGGGAGCAAAACGG
rnacentral:rRNA from 1 species